rnacentral:rRNA from 1 species
CUAGCUACAGGCUUAACACAUGCAAGUCGAGGGGCAUCAGGAAGAAAGCUUGCUUUCUUUGCUGGCGACCGGCGCACGGGUGAGUAACACGUAUCCAACCUGCCCUUUACUCGGGGAUAGCCUUUCGAAAGAAAGAUUAAUACCCGAUGGCAUAAUGAUUCCGCAUGGUUUCAUUAUUAAAGGAUUCCGGUAAAGGAUGGGGAUGCGUUCCAUUAGGUUGUUGGUGAGGUAACGGCUCACCAAGCCUUCGAUGGAUAGGGGUUCUGAGAGGAAGGUCCCCCACAUUGGAACUGAGACACGGUCCAAACUCCUACGGGAGGCAGCAGUGAGGAAUAUUGGUCAAUGGGCGCUAGCCUGAACCAGCCAAGUAGCGUGAAGGAUGAAGGCUCUAUGGGUCGUAAACUUCUUUUAUAUAAGAAUAAAGUGCAGUAUGUAUACUGUUUUGUAUGUAUUAUAUGAAUAAGGAUCGGCUAACUCCGUGCCAGCAGCCGCGGUAAUACGGAGGAUCCGAGCGUUAUCCGGAUUUAUUGGGUUUAAAGGGAGCGUAGGUGGACUGGUAAGUCAGUUGUGAAAGUUUGCGGCUCAACCGUAAAAUUGCAGUUGAUACUGUCAGUCUUGAGUACAGUAGAGGUGGGCGGAAUUCGUGGUGUAGCGGUGAAAUGCUUAGAUAUCACGAAGAACUCCGAUUGCGAAGGCAGCUCACUGGACUGCAACUGACACUGAUGCUCGAAAGUGUGGGUAUCAAACAGGAUUAGAUACCCUGGUAGUCCACACAGUAAACGAUGAAUACUCGCUGUUUGCGAUAUACAGUAAGCGGCCAAGCGAAAGCAUUAAGUAUUCCACCUGGGGAGUACGCCGGCAACGGUGAAACUCAAAGGAAUUGACGGGGGCCCGCACAAGCGGAGGAACAUGUGGUUUAAUUCGAUGAUACGCGAGGAACCUUACCCGGGCUUAAAUUGCAGUGGAAUGAUGUGGAAACAUGUCAGUGAGCAAUCACCGCUGUGAAGGUGCUGCAUGGUUGUCGUCAGCUCGUGCCGUGAGGUGUCGGCUUAAGUGCCAUAACGAGCGCAACCCUUAUCUUUAGUUACUAACAGGUUAUGCUGAGGACUCUAGAGAGGCUGCCGUCGUAAGAUGUGAGGAAGGUGGGGAUGACGUCAAAUCAGCACGGCCCUUACGUCCGGGGCUACACACGUGUUACAAUGGGGGGUACAGAAGGCAGCUAGCGGGUGACCGUAUGCUAAUCCCAAAAGCCUCUCUCAGUUCGGAUCGAAGUCUGCAACCCGACUUCGUGAAGCUGGAUUCGCUAGUAAUCGCGCAUCAGCCACGGCGCGGUGAAUACGUUCCCGGGCCUUGUACACACCGCCCGUCAAGCCAUGGGAGCCGGGGGUACCUGAAGUACGUAACCGCAAGGAUCGUCCUAGGGUAAAACUGG